UAAUACGUGCUGCAGCCAAGGAUGACUUGCCGUCAUCAACCAACUUCUCCUCCUCUUCGAUCGGUAUAACUUUAUUUUUAUUUUUAAUUUUAUUACUAGAGAGAAUAGGAUUUGAAACUAUUACAAAAAUUUAAGAAAGAUGAGUGUUUCAAAUCCGAAACGCAUGGGUGGUAUCUGAACACUCUAAACCGUUAUAACUUAUUAUGAUGCAAGAAAAUUAGUCCAAAGCAUAGGUUAGGAUUUGUUUUGCUACGAUCGUUAGCUCUAAAAGCGUGGAUUGGUGGCAAUUAGGAAGAGGUAGGUGUAUUUCGAGCAGAGAUAACCGGCAAGUUGUCCGUGGCUACAUGUCUAUCUCA
rnacentral:pre_miRNA from 1 species